GAUGAACGCCGGCGGCGUGCCUAAUACAUACAAGUCGAGCGAAUGGAUUAAGAGCUUGCUCUUAUGAAGUUAGCGGCGGACGGGUGAGUAACACGUGGGUAACCUGCCCAUAAGACUGGGAUAACUCCGGGAAACCGGGGCUAAUACCGGAUAAUAUUUUGAACUGCAUGGUUCAAAAUUGAAAGGCGGCUUCGGCUGUCACUUAUGGAUGGACCCGCGUCGCAUUAGCUAGUUGGUGAGGUAACGGCUCACCAAGGCAGCGAUGCGUAGCCGACCUGAGAGGGUGAUCGGCCACACUGGGACUGAGACACGGCCCAGACUCCUACGGGAGGCAGCAGUAGGGAAUCUUCCGCAAUGGACGAAAGUCUGACGGAGCAACGCCGCGUGAGUGAUGAAGGCUUUCGGGUCGUAAAACUCUGUUGUUAGGGAAGAACAAGUGCUAGUUGAAUAAGCUGGCACCUUGACGGUACCUAACCAGAAAGCCACGGCUAACUACGUGCCAGCAGCCGCUGUAA
rnacentral:rRNA from 1 species